rnacentral:sRNA from 1 species
AAGGUCUCAUUGAUAUCAUUGAUAUGUUGGUCUGGGUUUAUAUUGUUCACUUAAGUGGCACCUGUUUGUAACAACCACAUAUACGCUGUGGUAAUAUUGCCGCGUAAAAACAACAGUAAUUUUAGCGCUUCCCGCUUCCAGGGGGAAAGCGCCAUUUGAAACAAUGUGACAAUCGCAAGUGAAAGGAGACCCCCAUGCAGGUCAGCAGAAGGCAGUUCUUUAAG